AUUUUUAGGUAAACGCUGCAUUUUAUGUAGAGGAAAGUCCAUGCUCGCACUAUCCUGUGAUGGUAGUAGUGAUUGUGUAUAGGGAAAAAAUAACCUAUAGUAGCUUAUGCUAACGACGAGGAAAUAUCCUUAAACGGAUAAAGUACUUAUAAAGUGCCACAGUGACGAUAUUUUUUCGAAAGAAAAAAGUGAAACGUUGGUAAACUCCGCAAGCGAGAAACCCAAAUUUUGGUAGGGGAGCCUUUAAAAGGGAAUACGAACUAAUUAAAGGAUGAUUUAAUCAUAGAUAAAUGUUUACCACCUAGAAAUAGGUACAGAACAUGGCUUAUUAAA
rnacentral:RNase_P_RNA from 1 species